rnacentral:rRNA from 1 species
UACGAAGGGGGCGAGCGUUGUUCGGAUUUACUGGGCGUAAAGCGCACGUAGGCGGAUUGUUAAGUCAGGGGUGAAAUCCUGGAGCUCAACUCCAGAACUGCCUUUGAUACUGGCAAUCUUGAGUCCGGAAGAGGUGAGUGGAACUCCUAGUGUAGAGGUGGAAUUCGUAGAUAUUAGGAAGAACACCAGUGGCGAAGGCGGCUCACGGGUCCGGUACUGACGCUGAGGUGCGAAAGCGUGGGGAGCAAACAGG